rnacentral:rRNA from 1 species
CCUACGGGAGGCAGCAGUGAGGAAUAUUGGUCAAUGGCCGGAAGGCUGAACCAGCCAUGCCGCGUGAAGGUCAGUGCCCUAUGGGCGUUAAACUUCUUUUGUGCGGGAGCAAUAAUGGUCACGUGUGGCCAGACGAGAGUACCGUACGAAUAAGCAUCGGCUAACUCCGUGCCAGCAGCCGCGGUAAUACGGGGGAUGCAAGCGUUAUCCGGAUUUAUUGGGUUUAAAGGGUGCGUAGGCUGUGCGGUAAGUCAGCGGUGAAAUGCCCCCGCUCAACGGGGUGAAGUGCCAUUGAUACUGCCUGGCUGGAAUGCGGAUGCCGUGGGAGGAAUGUGUGGUGUAGCGGUGAAAUGCAUAGAUAUCACACAGAACACCGAUUGCGAAGGCAUCUCACGAAUCCGCGAUUGACGCUGAUGCACGAAAGCGUGGGUAUCAAACAGGAUUAGAUACCCGUGUAGUC